rnacentral:lncRNA from 1 species
GGCCUGGCAUAUCUCUCUCUCCCUCACCCAUCCUUCUCCAACUCCGGCCGCCGCCACGGCCAGGCCGACGUGGUGGUGCGCCUUCGCCUCCCAUCCAUCCACCAGCGCCACCAUCUUCUUCUCCUUCCCCGAAUCCACCAUCAUCCAUCCACACCACCGUCACCAGCGCCACCAUCUCUAGCCACCAGCACCACAGCGCCUCCCCACACCUCACGCAACCCACCAGACAGAUGGUCGGAGGCGUCUGAUGCCCCUCGCGAUUCUCCUCCCCAAAUCUGAACUGCUGCUGCUCCUCCACCUUUCUUCUUCCCCCAAAUUCUGUUGCUGCUCUCUCUCUGACCUCCCCACGCCUCUGUUCUUCUUGCCCAAACCUUGCUGCUACUCUUCUUCUACUGCGCCCCCUUGCUGAUCUCUCACGCUGCUGCUCAUUCCCUCAUCACUCUGUUGUUUUCUUCUUCUCCUGUCGCUGCCCUCUUCUAUCCUUGCCUCUAGUUGCUGCUCCUAAUCUUUUCUGAACCCCAGCCUCCUAUUCUUUCUUCUCCCUACCUCGCUGCUGCUCUGCCCUCUUCUCUGAACCUCUCCUCUUCCUCCCAACGCCCCUUGCUGCUUCUUCCUCCUUGCCUGCUGCUACUCCUCCCCCUGCCUCGCUUCUUCUCCCUCAACCUCCUACUGCUGCCUUAUCUCUCUCUCUCCCUCUCUAAAUUUCUGUAGUAUUGCGAGAUGUUUAAGACUUUGUAAGGUUCAGAUUCGUAGAGUACUUAAAACAUGUUGUUUUCUCAGUUUCGUACUUGUUUUCUAGAGUGUAUGUGUUCAGUUUCAGACUUGUGUUUGUAGUGUUACAUGGUGAUCUGUGAGCUGAACCGUGGCAUGUGUCACUCAGUUUGUAUGCUUGAUAAUUAGCUAUAUAUAUCCCCUGUUCAUUUCUUGCUUAAGAACCUUGUUACAUUGUGUAGUAUUUGUGUUAGCAGUACGUGUGAUAUAUUUAUAUACACGUUUGUGCGUGUCUUUGAUGUGAUGCACUUUAUGUUUUGUCCUACAUACUUGUUUCUUCCCUCUAUUAAUGUAAAAUAGUUAUAUAUAUAUAUGUCCAUGUCUUUUCAACUCCCUAGCCGUUGAUGUAUGCUUGUGUUAGCAUUUUAUUUGUCAACUAAAAUAAAAACACAAAAAAUAUACAUUGAGUAAAAUCUGAAUCUACCUUUGCGCAUCUGCAUUUUCUUUGGCGACAACCCUGUUUAGUUUAGUUUUACUUUUUUGCAUUCAUCACCCGAAUCGUGUUACCUAGCUUUAGCCGAGCAUAGUCAAUGUCGCCUAGUCCCUGUGGGGAACAUGACACUCGUAGUUUGGGGCGUAAAAACCCCGCUAUAUUAUAAUAGACCAUUUUGGCGCCGUUGACGGGGACUAGCGUCGUGUGACUGUGUUAGGCUAUAGACUAGGUUUUUCUUGUUUUCAUUUUGUGACAUCUAUAUGUGAUAUAUCUCUAACCACUAAUCCUUGUUCUAGAUCAUUUUCUUUCUGUUUUCUUUUAUUUUGGCAGGUUAGAACUAUCUUCUCGGUUAUGCUUACUAUUCAGAUCAUCAGGCUUAUGCGAGCAACACUACAAACAGCAUGGAAAGUAUUGAAGAACUGAUAAGUAAGAUUUCCCAUCAAUUAGAUGAUUUAGCUCAGCAGCGAGGAGUAGUUUUUGAGGAUAGGCCUGGUUCUUAUUAUCCUUAUUCCGGAGGCAAUCCUUAUAUUGCUCCUACAUGCCAUAUUUGUGGAUUUCACGGCCAUUCACCCGCUCAAUGUCAGCAUGGUUAUUCUCACACUCCAGAUUGUUUUGGCAUGAGCUUCGCUCAAGAGCAUAGCUCAUACCAAAACAAGUACUCACAUGGGUGGCCUGAAAACCCGAAUAUGUCAUAUAGGAGCAACAACCCUGAGAUCUCACCAUUUGCUUCUAGUAAUCAUAUGCAGGGAUUUAGGUAUGAAGAGGAGAGCCACAAUUAUGCUCCACAACAGUCUUAUUCAGCUCCUAUUCAUAUACCUCAGCACCAGGAGAUGUUGCCAAUGGAGUUAAAUGGUCCUCCAUUUGGUCAACCAACACCUUCAACACAAGUGCCUACUCAAGAUGAGUUCGAUGACAUAGACAAGCUCGCACUUUUGAGUCUCGAGUUCACUUGGAGUGCCGAGGAUGAUCCUAUUAGGAAGGUUAUACUAGAUGAAAUGAAGAAUAUCAAGAGUGGGAAUGAGCUAGUGGAAGAAGUAAAGAAGAUUGAGAAGAACAUCAACGCUGGCAGUACUAUUUCUUCACAGCUUGAGGUGAGUAAUUCUGGGAUUCCCCUUGAUACAUGUGAGGUUCCAAUACCGUCACAUCCAGCUGAGCAAGAUUGCAGGUGCCUUGAGCAUGAGAUACCUCAGAUUGAAGAAGAUGAACUAGAAAAAAAGGAACAAGAUGAUCAAGAGCUACAAUUCCCAAGUGAUCAAGUUGAAGACUCAUCAUCUACUACUCCUGAAGAAGUACAAGAAGCUGCUAUAGAUGAAGAUGAAGAACCUGAGAUUCAUUUUCCUAUUGUCAUACCAGAGCGUGAUGUGUCAGGUUUAUCUAAUCCUCUUAAUUACAUGUCUUCAUAUGAUUUGUUUGCUACUACCUUGCAUUGCAUGAUGCCAUCACUUAAGGUAUAUUUGAAAAACUAUUUGCUUGGACAUGAUCAUACACACCCUGUUAGUGGCAUUGCUCAUAUCUCUGUUCAUGAUACUUAUGUUCCUAUUGCUAUACCCAUGCUUAAUGAAACGUGUGAUUCUAAUACUAGCAUUGAGCUUACUGAUUUGUACCAUCCUAAACAUGUGCUUUAUAGCUAUGCUUAUGUAAUUGGAUAUUCGAUUGAUGACUUGGAGGGUAUUAUCCCUACCACUUGCAUUGUCUCUCUCGUUGAGUGCUCUUUCAGGUUUUUGCUUGUGCACGAUCCAUUACAUGCUGACCAAGUUCGAGGUGACAUUCCUUGGGACCCUGGUGGACUCGGAGCAUGGGGAUGAGGAGAAGCAAGGGGGCACACACGAGGAAGGGAGAAGCUGGAGCAGGCAUGAGGAUAGAGAAGCAAAAGGAGAGGAGCUGCAAUUGGUGAGGUGAUCGAGCGAGUGCUACUUCAUUAAGCCCGGUGAGCUGUUUCAUGACCCAUUCUAAAUAUCAUAAAUACAUGCUGAAUUCAAUUGCUAGUUGGGUUGCUUGAGCCAGUUAUUACUUGUUGUCAAGCUGAAUUUCACCUUUGGCAUUGUGCUUGAUGUGAAUUUGUGAACUUGAUUUUUGAAUGCCUUGUAAACUAGUGAUCUACACCAUGCAUGCUUUGCUGAAAUUAGUGAGAACUACUAGUUUUGAGUGCUCAAAUCCCUAGUACACUAGAAAACUUCGUCAUUUUCUGCAUUUACUAUGAUACACCUAGAUCACCAUGUUUAGAUGCUGAAUUUGUGCCAAGUGUGUUCCCAUUCAGAGCAAGCACCUAACCACUAUGGAUUAGCAUGCUAUGUUCCCUGGAUCGGUAGCAUGUGAACUAGACAUGGAGAAAUGAGGAUUCCUGUUUGUUGUGCUUAUGCAUUGUUCAUUUUAAAAAAGUAUUUCUUAUAAUGAAUAAUUAUCUGAUUUUACCUAACAGUAGCAUGUCAUGUUCCCUGGAUCGGUGGCUUGUGAAAUCUGGUUGGAUCGGAUAGGAGUUAAUGAUAUAAAAAAUGUAAUUGUCAAACCAGGUGUAUACCAUGUUCUCUGGAUCGGUGGUAUGUUCCUUUGGGGAGACAAACUAAAAAAACUAAUAUUUGGUUGAGCCAGGUGUAUACCAUGUUCUCGGGAUCGGUGGUAUGUUCCUUUGUAGAGACUGAUAAAAUAAUAUCUUUGCUUCCUUCAAAUUCAAUAAGUGAUUCAACCACAAUGUUGUGUUCCUGGUAAUAAGUGAUCUGAUCACAAGCUUUGUUCUCGGGAUCAUGCUCUCUUUAGGAACCAUUUGGCACAGUCAUCAUUUAAACUUGUUGAUCCUCUUUUAUCGUUGUAAAGGUUUAAAAUGGUCAUGCUUACUAGUGUCCUAUUGCUCUGUAGCACUCUUAACCAUUAUUUUCACUAGCUAAGUCCACAAGCAUGCAUUGUUUAGAGAUCUACUUCACUUGGACAUUCUCUAGUCAGCUCACUAUUCACUAUCUUGCUCGUCAUAUGCCUUUGCUUGAGGACAAGCAAAGAUUUAAGUGUGGGGGAACUAAAAGAGUGUCCCCCACAUGUAUCCAUUGUCGUCCAGCCCGGUUAGGAUACCUGGCUUUCACCCAGGCGACCCGGGUUCAUAUCCCGGCAAUGGAACCAAAAAUGGACUAUUAUAAUAUAGCGGGGUUUUUACGCCCCAAACUACGAGUGUCGUGUUCCAGGGACUAGGCGACAGUGACUAUGCUCGGCUAAAGCUAGGUAACACGAUUCGGGUGAUGAAUGCAAAAAAAGUAAAACUAAACUAAACAGGGUUGUCACCAAAGAAAAUGCAGAUAAGAAAAGGUAGAUUCAGAUUUUACUCAAUGUAUAUUUUUUGUGUUUUUAUUUUAGUUGAAAAAUAAAUGCUAACACAAGCAUACAUCAACGGCUAGGGAGUUGAAAAGACAUGGACAUAUAUAUAUAACUAUUUUACAUUUAAUGGAGGGAAGAAACAAGUAUGUAGGACAAAACAUAAAGUGCAUCACAUCAAAGACACACACAAACGUGUGUGUGUGUGUGUGUGUGUAUAUAUAUAUAUAUCACACGUACUACUAAUACAAAUACUACAUAAUGUAACAAGGUUCUUAAGCAAGAAAUGGACAGGGGAUAUAUAUAGCUAAUUAUCAAGCAUACAAACUGAGUGACACAUGCCACGGGUCAGCUCAUAGAUCACCAUGUAACACUGCAAACACAAGUCUGAAACUGAACACACACACUCUAGAAAACAAGUACGAAACUGAGCAAACAACAGGUUUUAAGUACUCUACGAAUCUGAACCUUACAAAGUCUUAAACAUCUCGCAAUACUACGGAAAUUUUGAGAGAGAGAGAGAGAUAAGGCAGCAGCAGGAGGUUGAGGGAAUGAGCAGCAGCGUGAUGAGGGAAUGAGCAGCAGCGUGAGAGAUUAGCAAGGGGGUGCAGUAGUAGAAGAGCAGCAGCAAGGUUUGGGCAAGAAGAACAGAGGCGUGGGUGGGGAGGUUAGAGAGAGAGCAGCAGCAGAAUUUGGGGGAAAAAGAAAGGUGGAGGAGCAGCAGUAGUUCAGAUUUGGGGAGGAGAAUCGCGCGGGGCAUCAGACGCCUCCGGCCAUCUGUCUGGUGGGUUCCGUGAGGUGUGGGGAGGCGUUGUGGUGCUGGUGGCUGGAGAUGGUGGCGCUGGUGACGGCGGUGUGAAUGGAUGAUGGUGGAUUCAGGGAAGGAGAAGAAGAUGGUGGCGCUGGUGGAUGGAUGGGAGGCGAAGGCGCACCACCACGCCGGCCUGGCAGUGGCGGCGGCCGGAGUUGGAGAAGGAUGGGUGAGGGAGAGAGAGAUAUGCCAGGCCCGAUGGGGAAUGGAGCCGAUCUAGGGAUUUUGAUCCCCUCCCUGAUCUGCAAACAUUACACAUUAGCCCUCCUCCUUCUCUUCUUACUUCACAAGAAGGUCCUCUCACUUCUUUAGCAGGCCCCCUAGUUACUUCUUUUCAUCUCACUCAAGUAUCUUCUCCCUUCUCUUCUUUUCUUUACUCUUCUCGAUAACCACCUAGACAGAAUCUUGACAAUUAUUGGUGCCUUUGUGCACAUUUCUGCAAGAUAGACCAAAGACUAGUAAAUGAUCUUUUUUUUGAUUAUCAAGCAAUAUUCAAUCAAUCAUGGCAAGAAUGGACGGAUAUAUCACGAUAGAUGCUACAUUUGAGUACCAAAAUUAAAUAUGUGAAAUAUACUUAUCAGUGGUUUUGGUAAUUAAUGUGAACAUAUCUCUUGUUGGACUAACACUGUUAUCUAGUAUGUUUCAGAUAAGUUCAACAAUGGAGUGGCAUGGACUAAAAGAUGUGGGAACUCCUUCAAGGUGCUCAGGACAAAAGAUUGGCUCAAGCUUCAAGCUCAAGACUCUUCAUUUUAUAUUUUAGUGAUCCAAGAUCACAUUGAGUCUAUAGGAAAAGCCAAUACUAUCAAGAAGGGAUGAGGUGUUGCUCAAUGUGUUUCUUGCUCCACAGUGCUUAGUGAUAUGCUCCAAAACCCUCAACUACUUUCCCACUUCCCCACAUAUGACCUAAACCUAAAGUCAAACUCGGCCAUACUGAUUCUUUCUAUCCGGCGCCAUCGAGUUCAGAUGUCAUAGCCACUUCCACAAACCCUAAACAAAUCGGUCUCACUGAUAGGGAUCUCGAUCUCACCGAGCUGGGAUUGUAAUCUCUCUGUGUAUGUCAUUUACCAAAAUCGUUCUCACCAAGUUUGAGCAAUCGGUACUACCGAUAUUACAAUGCAAACUUCCUGGUUGACUCAUUACCAAAAUCGGUCCUACCGAGUUUGUGUAAUCGGUCCAACCGAGUUUGCCUGACCAACUCCCUGGUUAGCUAAUUACCAAAAUCGGUCUCACCGAGUUUGUGUAGUCGGUUCGACCGAGAUUACAUUAUGCCCUAACCCUAACCAUAUCGGUCCUACCGAGUUGCAUAUCGGUCCCACCGAAAAUCCUAACAGUCACUAGAUUUACUAAAUCGGUCCAACCGAGUUUCUCAAUUCGGUCCCAUCGAGUUUGGUAAAUUGUGUGUAACGGUUAGAUUUUGUGUGGAGGCUAUAUAUACCCCUCCACCUCCUCUUCAUUCGUGGAGAGAGCCAUCAGACUAAACUUACACUUUCAGCAUACAUUUUCUGAGAGAGAACUACCUACUCAUGUGUUGAGGCCAAGAUAUUCCAUUCCUACCAUAUGAAUCUUGAUCUCUAGCCUUGCCCAAGUUGCUUUCCACUCAAAUCUUCUUUCCACCAGAUCCAAAUCCCAUGAGAGAGAGUUGAGUGUUGGGGAGACUAUCAUUUGAAGCACAAGAGCAAGGAGUUCAUCAUCAAUGCACCAUUUAUUACUUCUUGGAGAGUGGUGCCUCCUAGAAUGGCUAGGUGUCACUUGGGAGCCUCCGACAAGAUUGUGGAGUUGAACAAAGGAGUUUGUAAGGGCAAGGAGAUCGCCUACUUCGUGAAGAUCUACCGCUAGUGAGGCAAGUCCUUCGUGGGCGACGACCAUGGUGGGAUAGACAAGGUUGCUUCUUCAUGGACCCUUUGUGGAUGGAGCCCUCCAUGGACUCGUGCAACCGUUACCCUUCGUGGGUUGAAGUCUCUACCAAUGUGGAUGUACGAUAGCACCACCUAUUGGAACCACGACAAAAACAUCUGUGUCUCCAAUUGCGUUUGAAUCCUCCAAAACCCUUCCCUUUACAUUCUUGCAAGUUGCAUGCUUUACUUUUCGCUGCUCAUAUACUCUUUGCAUGCUUAAACUUAAAGAAGUUAAAAACUGCAACUUUGAUACUUAGUGUCUAAUCACCCCCCCCCCUCUAGACACCUCUUCUCAAGGUCCUACAAGUGGUAUUAGAGCAUUGGUCUCCAUUGCCUUGGUUUAAUCACCAUUGGAGGAAGAUGGAUGAGUCUACUUUGGGGAGUCUUAGACAUAGAGUGCCUAUUCUUGAUGAAGAGUAUUUUCAUGAGUGGAAAAAUGAGAUGCUUGUAAUCUUCAAUCAAUAUCAUUUGAACAAGUACAUUGCUAGCCCUUGUGUACCUCAUGUUGAUCCUAUGCAUCCUACUCUUGAUGAGUCAAUUGACAUGGUUAGGAAUCUUAGAACUGCCGAACUUAUUAUUAGAGGAUUCCCUAGAAACUUGAUUGGAUGUUUACCUACUCUUAAGUGUGCCUACACUAUAUGGAAAUUUUUUGAGGAACGCUUUCCAAAUUAUUCCUUGAAAAAUCUAGAUGAAAUUCUCCAUAAGAAUAUUGCUUUGAGUAAGAUGAAUACUAGUGGUCCUAUGUUUGGUGAUCGUCUAUUUGAACUUACAAACCUUAUGCAUGCCAAAGGAGAUGUUAGGAUUAUUAGUGAUAUUAUUUCCGAAGCUAUAAAAAUUCAUAAGCAAGAUCAUUGUCAAACUCACUCUAACGAAUCACCCUCUCUAAGAUUUGAUCCACCACAUGACUAUGUUGAACAUGGAUACUAUGAUGAGGAUGAUGAUAGUGACUUCGAUCUUGAUGAUGCAAUGAGACAUUUUGGUCUUAUGGCAAAUCUUCGGGGAUAUAUGUCAGAAGGAAAGGAAUGGGUUCUUGAUAGUGGAUGUACCGAUCACAAGACCGGAGAUAAAGACAUGUUUUGUGAGCUUGCUGAAAACGAUAGUCCUCGAAAGUAUGUCACUUUCGGUGACAACUCAAAGGGUAAGGUGGUUGGCCUCGGUAAGGUGGCCAUAUCACAUGAUAGCUCCAUACAAAAUGUCAUGCUCGUUGAAUCUCUUGGCUACAACUUACUUUCAGUAUCUAGGCUUGCUGAUUUUAGUUUCAAUGUCCUAUUUACUGAAGUAGAUUGCCAAGUGUUUCGUCGAGAUAAUCAUAAAAUGGUCUUUACCGGUGUGCGUAGAGGGGAUCUAUACAUUGUUGAUUUCACUAAAAAGGCUCAACCUAAAACUUGCUUCAUUGCUAAAACCUCAAAAGGUUGGUUAUGGCAUAGACGACUAGGUCACGUUCGUAUGAGAAACCUUGACAAGCUUAUUAAAGGGAAUCUUAUCCUUGGUGUUAAUGAUAUCAUAUUUGAUAAGGAUAGACUUUGAAGUGCUUGUCAAGCAGGUAAACAGGUUCGAGGAAGGCAUCCCGUGAAGAACAUCAUGACCACAAGAAGGGCACUCGAGCUACUUCACAUGGAUCUUUUUGGUCCCAACUCUUACAAGAGUCUCGGUGGAAAUUCUUUUGGUCUAGUUAUAGUUGAUGAUUUUUCAAGAUUUACGUGGGUGUUCUUUCUCGAUGAUAAAUCGCAGGUCCAAAAGAUCUUCAUAAACUUCGCUAGGAAGGCCCAAAAUCAAUUUGAAGUGAAGAUCAAGGAGGUUCGCAGUGACAACGGAACGGAGUUCAAGAAUGCAAAUGUGGACACCUUUCUUGACGAAGAAGGGAUUUCACACAAGUUCUCGGCUACGUACACACCUCAACAAAAUGGAGUUGUUGAGAGGAAGAACCGGACGCUCAUCGAAAUGGCUAGAACGAUGCUUGAUGAGUACAAGACACCGAAGCACUUUUGGGCAGAAGCGAUUGAGACAGCUUGUCAUGCAACAAAUCGCUUGUAUCUUCACAAGCUACUCGGCAAGACGGCAUACGAGCUCCUCACCGGUAACAAACCCCAAGUUGGAUACUUUCGAGUAUUUGGCUCAAAGUGCUACAUUCUUGAUAAGCAUUGUCGUUCUAAAUUUGCUCCUAAGUCUCAUUAAGGUUUCCUACUAGGUUGUGGCUCAAACUCUCACACUUACUGUGUCUACAAAAAUUUCACCCGAAAGGUUGAAGAGAUGGUAGAUGUGAAGUUUGAUGAAUCUAACGGCUCGCAAGUAGAGCAAUUGCCAAUUGAUGUAGGAGACAAAGAUCCUACGGGAGCAAUCCAAGACUUGUCUAUUGGCAUGGUUCGUCCAACGGAGGUGAAGGAGAGUACCUCGUCCGUCCAAGUGGAAGCUUCUACUUCACGACAAGGUGAACCAAGAGUUGAUACAGAAGCAUCCACAAGUGGGACACACCAAGAUGAAGAAAACGAGGAAGUGCAUCAGGAUGAACGUCAACAGCCUCCUCCACCACGACAAGAGAACGACAACGCCAACAAUGAAGAAGGCCAAGAAGAACAAGAUGAAGAAGAAGUUUAACCAAGAACCAAGCAAACGCUUUCACAAGUUCUAGAAAGAAUUGCUCAAGACCAUCCCAUCGAGCAAAUCUACAAUGACAUUCAAACCGGGAGAAUCACUCGCUCUAAAACUAGUUUAGCUAACUUUUGUGAAAACUAUUCUUUCAUCUCUAGCAUUGAACCUAUGAAGGUUGAAGAAGCAUUGGAAGAUCCGGAUUGGAUAAAUGCUAUGCAUGAAGAGCUACACAACUUUGAGAGGAACCAAGUUUGGACAUUGGUUGAGAAGCCCGACAACAACCACAACAUCAUCGGUACCAAAUGGGUGUUUUGCAACAAGCAAGAUGAAGAUGGACAAGUAGUUUGCAACAAAGCACGUCUCGUCGCCCAAGGCUACACACAAGUCGAAGUGUUUUGCAGGUUAAGAGGAGAAUUGAACAUCAUUUAUGCUUCAAACUUGGAGUAGAAACUCCAUUGGAUACAUGCAAGACAUGAGCUUAUGACUAAUCCUUGAUAUUUCUCUUAUGAUGGAAAUCUUGUGUCUUGGAUCUAUUUGUAUCUUGCGUGUUAUCUAACCCAUGUAGGUACUUGGAUGAAUCUAAUUCCAUGAGGUUGUAACCUACUCAUAUCUUGAGCAAUCUCUACAUCACCAAGUCUCUACACAAAGGUGGUUGAAGACACGGAAGCACGAAACCAUUCAAACAUAUCCUUUGACAAAUUCUAUGUUGAGCCUCAUGAUUGUCAUUUUUGGAUACACAAGUGCUCUUCCUUGCAAAAACUAACCCAUGUAGGUAGAUGGACUCAAAUUCCAAGUGGUGCUCCAAAUUCUUGAUGAGCUACAUCAACCUUGAGUAACCCACACAAGUUCAACUACAUGGACAACACCACUAACCAAGGUAUGUUAUUCCAUCUUAGAGAAGCUUUACUCCGAGUCAUGAGCUAAAUCCACUCGACAAGAUGUGAAUACAUCAAGAUGCUUAAACGGCAACCCCGUUUUGAUCUUAAACGAUGAGUAUGACCUAUGAUCAAGUGAUCUCACUUGACUCCUAAGUCAAUAUACUCUAACACAGGUGACUUUGUCGCCGACCAUCUCUAGAUGAAGUUCUCUUAUGUUCUUUUCUAUGUUUUUGCAUUUGUCUCAUGCAUAUUUGUUUCCCCUUUUCAAAAAAAAACUUCAUCUAGAUUUUUUUCUAUUUGCUCUGCAUUUUCUGCAUCCAAUUCAUUGCAUAUCAUUCAGUAAAUUCCUUGCAAAUCUUUGUGAGAUCCUAUUAGUCUAGUGAGCUGAGGUGACAACUGUUUUUUCUGCGAUGAACUCGGUUUCACCGAUUUGUUGUUUUCAGUCCAACCGAAUCCUUUCGGUACCACCAAAGCAUACCACUCGGUGCCACCGAUUUCACAACAGGAAAAAUAGCUUGCCACUUAUUCUGUGUUUCUUCUGAUCCAACUCCACUCAAUGAAUCUUGUCCUCUACAAGAAUCACAUUUUUAUAAUUGCUAUGUGCUAUGACUCAAGGAUCAAACCCUUCUUGGAAAUUGAGGUCAAAGGGGGAGAGAGAGAUCACAUCAAAGCUUAUCAUUUAGAGAGACCACAUUAGAAAAAGAGAGUAUAUCACCUCCUCAGGGGGAGAAAGAGAUCUCCAGGGGGAGAGAAUACUCAAGUAGAAAGUAUUUCUCAAGGAUCCCAAAUGCUUGGUGUUCAAGAGGAGAGAUUCCACAUGUCUUCUUGAGGGGAAAGACAUGUUCAUAUGUGCUUAUUUGCAUUAGCUUGCAUUAGCUCUGUUCAUUUAUAUCUUUCAGCUCUGAUUUUCUGUUCCCUAUCUUCUCCCAGUAUCCCAUGCUAGAUUCAGGGGGAGCAAGACAUCUAAGGGAAAGAAAUCAUUUAAAUUCAUUACAUAUCUUUACUCUUGGGGACAUGUCUAAUCCAAUGUGGUACUUAGUACUCACUCUCUACAUGUCAUCCCAGUCUUGGUAUUCUUGUGGUUUCUUCUGUUUGCUCUAGCUAGUAGAUGUACCUAUGUUAUCUAACCUUGUUUUCGCAGGUUCAUUCCAUCCUAAGCCAACUCAAGACUACAAGGUAAGUAUAUGCAUCACAAUCAUGUGUAUGAGGGAUUCUUGUUGUUGUACAUAUUGUUUGCAAGAAGGACCCAUGGGCAUGAAGGUAUUUUCUUUAAUAUUCUUUGCUCUGAUGCAUAUCGCCAAGAUACAUGUAACACAUUGCCUGCUCUAUCAUGGUUAUGCUCUCACAUGCUUCUAUAUUCCAUAGUCACAUGAUUGCAUACAUGUAGGGGGAGCCUAUGCUUGUUACAUGUCUUUCCAAAGCUUUACUUGCUAUUCUUUAUAUCUUUAUAUAAAGCUUUGAUGUAUGUUGUCAUCAAUUACCAAAAAGGGGGAGAUUGAAAGCACAAGUGCUCCCUAGGUGGUUUUGGUAAUUAAUGUCAACAUAUCUCUUGUUGGACUAACACUGUUAUCUAGUAUGUUUCAGAUAAGUUCAACAAUGGAGUGGCAUGGACUAAAAGACGUGGGAACUCCUUCAAGAUGCUCAGGACAAAGGAUUGGCUCAAGCUUAAAGCUCAAGACUCUUCAUUUUAUAUUUUAGUGAUCCAAGAUCACAUUGAGUCUAUAGGAAAAGCCAAUACUAUCAAGAAGGGAUGAGGUGUUGCUUAAUGAGUGUCUUGCUCCACAGUGCUUAGUGAUAUGAUCCAAAACCCUCAACUACUUUCCCACUUCCCCACAUAUGACCUAAACCUAAAGUCAAACUCGGCC